GAUGAAGAACGUAGCGAAAUGCGAUAAGUAAUGUGAAUUGCAGAAUUCAGUGAAUCAUCGAAUCUUUGAACGCACAUUGCGCCCGCCAGUAUUCUGGCGGGCAUGCCUGUUCGAGCGUCAUUUCAACCAUCAAGCCCCAGGCUUGUGUUGGGGACCUGCGGCUGCCGCAGGCCCUGAAAACCAGUGGCGGGCUCGCUAGUCACACCGAGCGUAGUAGCAUACACAUCGCUCAGGGCGUGCUGCGGGUUCCGGCCGUUAAACCCCUUUUUUACCCAAGGUUGACCUCGGAUCAGGUAGGAAGACCCGCUGAACUUAAGCAUAUCAAUAAGCGGGGA
rnacentral:misc_RNA from 1 species